rnacentral:rRNA from 1 species
AUUGAACGCUGGCGGCAGGCCUAACACAUGCAAGUCGAACGAGUGGCGGACGGGUGAGUAAUGUCUGGGAAACUGCCUGAUGGAGGGGGAUAACUACUGGAAACGGUAGCUAAUACCGCAUACCAUCAGAUGUGCCAAGAUGGGAUUAGCUAGUUGGUGGGGUAACGGCUCACCAAGGCGACGAUCCCUAGCUGGUCUGAGAGGAUGACCAGACACACUGGAACUGAGACACGGUCCAGACUCCUGCGGGAGGCAGAAGGGCGGAAUAUUCCAGAAUGGCCGCAAUCAUGAUGCAGCCAAGCCGGGUGUAUGAAGAAGGCCUGCGGGUUGUAAAGUACUUUCAGCGGGGAGGCGUUACCCGCAGAAGCAGCACCGGCUAACGCCGUGCCAGCAGCCGCGUAAUAC